rnacentral:sRNA from 19 species
GGUGCGAUCGGAAUCUGCAGCGAUGCGGAGCCCUGUGGCAGGGGCGUGCCAUACACCAACCGAAAGUAAUGGAGA